rnacentral:lncRNA from 1 species
UGUCACCUCCAGUUUCCAUUUUAAAUUGUAAAAUUUCCAAAUUUGGAGACAAGCAGAUAUUUUUCUCAUCUUGAAAAGGAGGAGCGAGCGUUAGCUAGCUGAUUAGCCGUAGGUGGGAAACGAACCAUCUCUAAUAAAAACAGUAACUUUUAGAGAAACUCUGGGGAAGUUCUGUAGUCCCACCCUGCCCCGUGACCUUUCAUUCUCUUAGUUCUUCUGCCACAGAGAAGCACCGAUCGACUAAUAAAAGAUUUGAUCUUGCUAUAAUUUCCCAAGCAGAUAAGAAAACAAGGCCUUACAGUUGCCCACUUUCAUGAAGUGGUGUCACCCUCCAGGUGGAGUUUUUCUAAUCUAGAAGCUCUUUUCUGUGUCUGCUUUCUGAUUCAUUAUCAUGAAGGACAUCAUUAAUAACCAUCCUCAGGAGAGGACCAUGAGAGGUAAGUUCAAGAUAUGAAGCCUUAAAAUGUUUAAUUUUGCUUUUCCUCCUGUUUAGUAUCAAGCGGGGUUUAGAAUUUUAUAUUCUGAAUAUGUUGUCUACUGAAUUCUGAAGUCAUUUUUUAUUGUGGGAUAUUAACAAGUAAUGAUGAAAUAAUUGUAAAGGAAGUUUUAGAUUUAUCUAUUUGUUGUACUGAAAUUUCAGGUAUCUAAAAGUACCCUUUUUUACAUCUAUUUUUUUAUUUUCCUAUGGGCCUUCUCUUUGGUUUUGGGAUAUUAACAUUAAGUUAUAGGUUAGUUAUGAGCUGAUUACGCAGGACUCUGUGAAAAUUAAAAUUUUAAACUGACUAUGCUUUCUAAAUAUUUGUCUACUAGUCUGCCAAACACCCUUGUUGUUAUUCAAUAUUGGUAAUACAGAAUAGAUGGAUUCAUAUAUGUUCUAGUAAGUAUAAGCAAGCAUAAAAUAAAUACUCACAAGAAAUACUCUUG